GGGGGGAAGCCGGUGUGCGGGCCCCGCGGUGCUGUAGGAGCUGCGGGGGUGGCUUGUGAGGAAGGGCGAGUACGGGUAAAACAGGGCUUGUGUGCCUGGUGGUCUCCUCACGGUGGUUCAGCCCACCGUUCCGUUCCAGAGGGCUGGCGGCUCCGGCCCUCCUUCGGGCCGCCGCUUUGCCGCCGCUGAGGUCAGAGAAAAUUCAGAGCAGAGCAGACCUUGUUCGUUGUGCUGGUUCCCGGGAACCCGGCUGGUUGGUUGGCUGCUGCGUUGAGCUGGCUGGUGUGUGCAAAUGCCCGCUUCCUGGCAGACGUUCAGAUCUGGUAAGAUUUUUGUGGUUGGUACCCAGAGGGGAAGACACAAGUGUUUUGAACCCAUAAGGACUUCAAUUUUAUUUUGGAAACAUGAGGGCUGAAUGCUACAAAAGCUGAGAGAGAGUCCUUUACGGGCACAAAUUGCACACAUGAUUUGAAAACCCAGUACCUUUUCCUUUCAAUACAUGGCUGUCAAGGUAUCAGUCUUACAUUGACAGGAUUUUUAUCUUCCUCAAACUUGCUCCUAUGUACACCAGGAUAUGCCAUUGUACAGUAUGAAUAUCACAUAUUUAAAUCAUCGAUCAGUUUUUUUUUUUUUUGGUGGAUAUUCAUCAAGACAAUAUCGUUUCCAAGUCUUACAUCAAGGGAAACGAUAAUCCUCCUCCAUUCUUUGUGAUUUUUGAGAUGGUGCUUCAUGUAGAACUGUAGAAGGAAAAUGUACCCUGGACAGCUUUCCAUUCCAGUGAUUUCAUUAAUGAUCAAAUGUUUUUAAGUGGCACGCAGUACCUUGAAGGAUUGCAGCCAAUCUAUAGUUCCCGGUAGGUCAGUCCUAAGGAUUGAACCUAGUAUAUAAUGUACGAUUAACCUCUGUUGUCAUCAAAACAUACAAUGGCAGUUCAGAACUCAUUGGCAUUGGUUUUAGUUUUAGAUGAACAGAGAGCCUGCAUCACAAUUAUAUAAGCUGUCUUCUUUUAUCCCUAGUUUUAUUAUAUUUAUAUUUCAUGUAAUUUGUUCCAACUGUGAAUGUUUCAGAUACUGAAAGAGUUACUGCCCUUACAGCAUUUUAUUGUAUAGGGUUCAAAGUGGCAACGAUGAGAAAUGAACCAGACUGUCUUCACGUGGCUUUGAAAUGCUGUAUUGCAAAAUAGAGCGCUGCACCCUGUGUCUGCAUAAAACAUGGUCUCAAUUAAACUUCUACUAAAACAGUUUCAUCUGUUUAAAAGUAUGCUUAUUUUUGACUACACAUAUAAUUUAGGGUUUUUUUAAGUUUCACUAAAAAAACACUGGUCCAUGGAAAAUAAGAUGACUUACAUUACUAGAAAUCAGUAACCCUAUUUAAUUACUACAAAAUACUGGUUUAAGGCUACCGUUGAGAUCAAGUUACUUCAACUUGGUUUCUAAGGAAACUAAAAUCUACACACUGAUAACCAUACAUCAAUAAAAAAGAAAAAAAAAACCAAACCCAAAACACCUUAGUAUCUCUCCUUAGUGGGCUUAUAUAGAGAGCAGUUUCAAAAUAGUAUUUUAUUAUAACUCAAAUUAAAAAAUACAUUAGGUCAUUCUGUUCACAUUUUGCCAUAUAAAAAGUGAACAUAAGCUGUUAAAAAAAAAAAAGACUUAAGAUAAUCUCCACAGACUCAUUCCUUUACACAAUUAUUUUCAUUAGGUAAUCUUUUUACACUGGGAAAGGAUUCUUUAGCUGGGAAACACUUUAUAAAGGAUCAAACAUUUUGUUUGUAUACCACAUAUAGCCUGGAUAUUUGAAAACUUCCUGUCCUUAAUUGCCUAUGCAAAAUGAUUCAUGGUGCAAAUUGGUAUUCACAAGUUAUUAUGAGCAUUAAUUUAUAUUUUUUCCUUUGUACAGGCAUCUAAAGAUUAGAUUUAUAGGCAGUGCUGAAAUGCAUUUUAUUUUGUUUUGAAAUCAAGAUUGCGACAUCCUUUAAAUUAUAUUCACAUUCUGUGUGGAUUUCAAACUAUUGUCAUUGUGAUGAUGGUUUGGGUGUUUUGUGGGAGGGUGGUUGUAUCUCGGAGUAUUGGUUUGGUUAAAUACAAUACAUGGACAAAAGACAAAGUAAAUUUUAAGGAGUUUUAUGAAAACCAGUAUUUUUCCCAAGCGUUAAAAACAGCAUAUGAAAAUCUAUAGGGUUAAGUUCUUAUGUGGGGCUUUUUAAACCUAUUUUUAAUGGAAAGAAAUUGGAGCAGAAUACAAAAAAACAGCGAUUUUCUCCUUGAAAAUGGUUUUGAUACUGUCAAACUUUUCAUUAGAAGAUGAAAAUGUAAUUUUCUUCAACAGCUGUGUUUGGAUUAAAGUCUGAAAUUUCAAUUUUGUCAAGAAGGAAAUUUUUUGUGAGGAGAAAAGAAAAAAAACCCAACAUUUUGACUGACUAUAAUAUAUAAUAUAUGCAGGAUAUAUAUAUAGGUACACAUGCAGGAAUACAGAGCCAGCAUCUCCGCUGGUGUAAAACAUCUAAGUGUCUCUGAAGUCACAACUUGCCUAACUAAGAUCAGCUGUGAAUCUCACCUAAGAAAUUUUUGCUUAUCUCAUAUUCACCUCUCUGUGGAAUGCUGGAGCCGGUUUCUGAAUGACGUGAUUCUGAUAUAAAAGGCAUAAAUAUAGUAGUGCCAGGAACUACAGAGUUAACCUUCUGAACGCCGGAACGCGUCAGUGGCAAGAAACAGAGGUAUGACUGUAACAUUACUUACAGUCUUGAAAUACUGUUGAAGGAAAAGUCAAGCUUGUCUGUAAGAAGGCUACUAAAAUUCUUUUCAGGUCUUCAGAAAAAUUGUGUUUGCAAUGUAAUUCCUUAAGACUACUUAAGACUAAGACCACUUCAAAUUAUAAUGAAUUUUUCUGGUUUCAGGGUAGAGCCUUCAAUGUCCUGGUUACUGACCAACGUGGUACUUUGACUUGAUCAAGUAAGCAAUUCCAGAGUUUGCAGAAAAAGCCAAUCACCAGUGCCUUCUCGUACCAAAAGGUCUGAAACCAAACUGAUGUGAGAUUGGAGAUUUGAAAAUACUACUACAAGCAGAAGGUUUUUUGCUACCGCAGGGAUCCUAACAAGAGAUGAAAAAAAGCCCACUGACAUCUGUUGAGAGCUGCUGUUUGGAGAAGUUACUGUGUUUAUCUGCUUUUGCUCAAGAACACAGCAAUCUUACGGGCUUGAUAACCGAGGGAUUCUUUCAAUACAAAUUUAAUCAUGAUUGAGAAUGUGAGAUGUGAAGAGGAACGGGGGUAAGGCUGCUCCCACAUACAAGAUUUUACAAGAUGAGAACCGUAACAGGCACUGGAUCUGCUCCAGCAGAAGGACCUGUAUGAAUACACGCAGAGUACAUACAGGAUUGUGCUUUUCCCAGAGGAAAAGAGAAUGGAAUUGCAUUCUUUUCUUUUAGGGUUUUAUUUCCUUUUUUUCCCCCACGAUCGUAAGGCCUUACAUGAUUCCCCGAGUGUUUGAACUUCUCUAUGUGGGUAAGGAGUCCCGUGGCUCCUAAAAGGGGGGGUGGGGGUGGAUAAGAGCUCCAAGAUCCUGCAGAGGAGGAGGCACCCUUCCACAGAACAGGAGCCGUAUUCCGAUGGCACCUGCUCUGCUGUCAGCCUGCCCGAGACCCCAGCCUGCCUGCCUGCCUGCCGGCCCCGGGCUGCCUGUAGCUCGGCCGCUGCCUGCGCCCGCCGCGGGGCUCCGCUCCCACGCCCGUCCCCUGCACCCGGAGCCGCCGGGCGCCCGGCAGAGCCCGGUGGGAGCCGGAGCUGCAGAGCAGCGCCCGCUCCCCCGAGACGCCCCCGCAGCCCGCCCCGGCUCCCCAGUUCGGGGCCGGGGUUUUAAGGCGCGCUGGCGAUCUCCGCCGGCGGCGGCUACAGCUAUGGACCGUCAGGACGAGGGGCAGGACACACUGGACGGGACACACGGGGACCGGACAGCGGGAAAAUAAAGGAUCCUCCUACCCUGA